CGCGCCGCAGCGGCCUCAUUCCCGCGGCCGGGCAGCCGCGCUGGCAGCAGCGUAGCGGUUCCUCCUUCUCGCCCUGCAGCAGCGGCCGGGUCCGGGAAGCCCGAAGAAGCGACGACGAACCGAGGAGGGGGGGGGAAGGUGAGAGAGACGCAGCGCGAAGCAAAACGACCCACAAGGCAGGACAGCCCUCCCGGCGCCGCGCCUCAGUGCCUCGGGCUCGCUCCGUCCAUGGGCGCAGCCCGGACCGCCCCGGGACCGAGCGGCGUGAGAGGCAGGAAGGAAGGAGGCGGCUCAAGGGGAGGGCAGAGCGCGAGGUCCGGCUGCGAGGGGAGCAGCGAACGGCACCAACAUGUCCGCCUUCCUGUUUGAACAGUGAGGCGGCGGGGGGGGGGGGGGCGCCUGGGACGGAUGCGCAGCACGCACGCGCAGGAGGGAGGAGGCGGAAGACGUGACUAAGAAACAAAGAGAUCCGUAGCCAAGCACUUGGGCGCAUCAGCUGUUCCAGCAUGGAUAUUCACUGCCUGCUGUCUUUAUUUGUGCAUAGAGAAAGAAGCGCUCCUUGCAGCCUUGAUAUUAAACAGGGUAAAAAUUGCCGUGGAAUGAUGCAGAGCUUGCCAUGGUGCAGUUAGGCACCCAGCAGAGUGCAGGCCCAACUCUUCACUGCAUGUCAGCAGUUUUGCAAGGGAAUCAUAGAAUGGUUCAGAUUGGAAAAGACCUCUAAGAUCAUCUUGUUCGACCACCCACCCACCACCAGUAUCACCCACAAAAUCAUUUCUCUCAGUGCCACACCCACACGGUUCUUGAACACCUCCAGGGGCAGUGACUGCACCACCUCCCUGGGCAGCCUGUGCCGCUGCAGCACCGCUCUUUGUAAGAAGAAAUUUCUUCUAAUAUUCAACCUGAACCUCCUCUGGCACAACUUGAGGCCUUCCCUCUCAUCCUGUCACUACUUAUGCAGGAGAAGAGGCUGACCCCCACCCCGCCACAGCUUCCUCUCAGGGAGUUGUAGAGAGCAAUAAGGUCUCCCCUGAGCCUCCUCUUCUCCCUCAGCCACUCUCUGUAAUACUUGUGCUCCAGACCUCUCAGCUUCAUUGCCCUUCUCUGAACAUGUUCCAGUGCCCUUGAUGUCAUUCUUGUAGUGAGGGGCCUGAAAAUAAAUGCAGUAGUCAAAGCAAGUAGUCACUUCCUCAGUGCGCCUUGCAUUGCUUUUUCAGUGACCCAGUUCCAAAACAACACUCAGAGACACCAUCCCCUUGGCUUGACACCUUCGGGAAUUCUCAGAUAGGAGAGCUAGGCACUGGGAAGGCCUGAGCUCACACACUGUGAAUGAUUUUGCCAUAAUAGCAGUAUAGCCCAGUACCUUCUCCAGUGUUCCUCAUGAGGGAAGCUGCUGUGCAUGUGCUCAGCUGCAUGCAAACAGUAUAUUUUGAACACGUCCAUCAGAUUGAGCUUUUCUCAUGAGUAUGGUGGACUAAAAAUGUAUGUCUGUCUCAAAAUGCCACAGAAUUUGCGUGGGAAGAGCUUCAGCCAGUGGUCUAGGAAACUGUGAGCCCUGCUUUGAAAACAUCAAGGGGAGCAAAAGAGAAAAUAAAUGCUAAUUUCAAAAACAGUUAUGGGUUAAAUGUGUCUGCUGUGAUAAAAUGCUCAUGUUGUAACUCACCAGCGUAAUCAGAGAAUCAUCAUAGAAUCAUAGAAUGGCCUAGGUUGAAAAAGACCACAGUGAUCAUCGAGUUUAACCCCCCUGCUAUGUGCAGGGUCACCAACCACCAGACCAGGCUGCCCAGAGCCACAUCCAGCCUGGCUUUGAAUGCCUCCAGGGAUGGGGCAUCCCAUGCAAUGUAAUAGAUUGUACUCCAGUGAACACUCAUUCACAUGCUUGGCUCUUCAAAUGUAUUUUCACGAGCUGGACUCAGAGCAUAUCUUUAUGAUAAAGAACUUCCGUAUUUCUAGCACUGCCCACUUAGAAACUAUAUGAAGUUCCAUCCUAGAUUAGCAGCUAUAAUGCAGUGAACACAUCUUAGUUUGUUUUUGCUUCCUGAUAACAUGCAAACUAAAACUGGACAAUUUCUUCUUCCUGCAUUUGCUGUGUCCUGUAUUUUUGAAUGUAGCUAGCUUUUGCUGAAUGAAAGGAAAUUACUCAACACACAUACGACCCAGUAACACUGUGCUGAUGAAGUUGGCAAGCCUGAAAAAUCUUUUUUUUAUUUUUAUUUUUUAUUUUUCUCUCUUGAAAAGUAUGAAGUGUCUAAUACUGGAGAUGGGAUAAGACUGUAAAUCACAGCAGGUUUCAAUAGCCAAGUAUUAGCUGGGCCCUCUCUGGGCAGGUGCUGUUCUCUUCAUCCUCACAUGAAAAAGCUAAGAACGACUGAAUUAAAUGUCUUGAUGACUGAAUUAAAAACCAAAGGCUGUCUCAAUUUCUUAAGUCACCAAGUGUGUACCUUUAAGAACGCUCAUAGAAAAAGAGAAUAGAAAACUCACUAACUUCUGAUGCAACUCUUGACUUAGAGGAGUUACACAAGGCAAAAAUGAGGCUAA
ensembl:lncRNA